rnacentral:rRNA from 1 species
GUGGGGAAUAUUGGACAAUGGGCGAAAGCCUGAUCCAGCCAUGCCGCGUGUGUGAAGAAGGCCUUUUGGUUGUAAAGCACUUUAAGCGAGGAGGAGGCUACCGAGAUUAAUACUCUUGGAUAGUGGACGUUACUCGCAGAAUAAGCACCGGCUAACUCUGUGCCAGCAGCCGCGGUAAUACAGAGGGUGCAAGCGUUAAUCGGAUUUACUGGGCGUAAAGCGCGCGUAGGUGGCCAAUUAAGUCAAAUGUGAAAUCCCCGAGCUUAACUUGGGAAUUGCAUGCGUUACUGGUUGGCUAGAGUAUGGGAGAGGAUGGUAGAAUUCCAGGUGUAGCGGUUAAAUGCGUAGAGAUCUGGAGGAAUACCGAGGGCGAAGGCAGGCAUCUGGCCUAAUACUGACACUGAGGUGCGAAAGCAUGGGGAGCAAACAGGAUUAGAAACCCUGGUAGUCC